AUUCCCCUAGUAACUGCGAGUGAAGCGGGAAAAGCUCAAAUUUAAAAUCUGGUGGUCUUUGGCCAUCCGAGUUGUAAUUUAGAGAAGCGUCUUCCGCGCUGGACCAUGCACAAGUCUCCUGGAAUGGAGCGUCAUAGAGGGUGAGAAUCCCGUCUUUGGCAUGGACCCCCAGGGCUUCUGUGAUGCGCUCUCAAAGAGUCGAGUUGUUUGGGAAUGCAGCUCAAAAUGGGUGGUGAACUCCAUCUAAAGCUAAAUAUUGGCGAGAGACCGAUAGCGAACAAGUACCGUGAGGGAAAGAUGAAAAGCACUUUGGAAAGAGAGUGAAACAGUACGUGAAAUUGUUGAAAGGGAAACGCUUGAAGUCAGUCGCGUCGACCGAGACUCAGCCUUGCCUUGGCUUGGUGUACUUCUCGGCCCGACGGGUCAGCAUCAAUUUCGAUCCUUGGAUAAUGGCAAGGGAAAGGUGGCACCUUUACAGGUGUGUUAUAGUCCUCUGUCGGAUGCAAGGGUCGGGAUUGAGGAACUCAGCAUGCACCUCAUCGGUGUCGGGGCCUCGGCCUACGUUACGUGCUUAGGAUGCUGGCAUAAUGGCUUUAAACGACCCGUCUUGAAACACGGACCAAGGAGUCUAACAUGCACGCGAGUGUUCGGGUGGAAAACCCGUGCGCGUAAUGAAAGUAAAAGUUGGGACCUCUGUCGUGGAGGGCACCGACGCCCGGACCAGACCUUCUGUGACGGCUCUGCGGUAGAGCGUGUAUGUUGGGACCCGAAAGAUGGUGAACUAUGCCUGAAUAGGGUGAAGCCAGAGGAAACUCUGGUGGAGGCUCGUAGCGAUUCUGACGUGCAAAUCGAUCGUCAAAUUUGGGUAUAGGGGCGAAAGAC
rnacentral:rRNA from 1 species